UUUCCGUAGGUGAACCUGCGGAAGGAUCAUUAUUGUAUAACCGAGGUGCGUGGGCUGUCGCUGACCCGAAAGGUCGUGCACGCCCGAGUGCCCUCACACACAUCCAUCUCACCCCUAUGUGCACCACCGCGUGGGUCCCCCUUUGGCUUGUUCGGAGGGGGGCUUACGUUUUCACACAAACUUUGUAUGCAGUGUAGAAUGUAUUUUUUGUUUUUGCGAUCACGCAAUCAAUACAACUUUCAACAACGGAUCUCUUGGUUCUC
rnacentral:misc_RNA from 1 species